rnacentral:lncRNA from 1 species
GGGAGACCACGGCGACGUCGACUAGACCCAGCGAGGAAGUGACUCACCCAGAAAACGCAGCAUCUGCAGCUGCCCGUUAACCAGCUGCGGGCUGGGGAAUGAGCGGUUCCGGCCGGCCACGCCCAUCGCAACCUAAAUCUGCGAACCUGGCCCCCUGCCCGCUCCAUUCUUUUCUCCAGUCUCACCUCUUGGCGUCCGAGGCCACCUCUCCCCGAACUUUGAGACAUUCCCCAGGUUUGAGAUUCAGGUUGCUGGCGACCAGACCCUGUGUAGACAAGAGCACCGAGCUGUGUUUAGGGUGUCAAACUUGUGACUGUCCUACAGAACAAGCCCUAAAAGACAUCAGCUUGGAGACCUGGACUUAGAGUGGAGGGGAGAUGGAGUGUGACUUCCUAAAUCCUCAUUUUGCUGAUGGAAGGAUUAGGCGACCACUAGCCUAAGGCCUUGCUUCUCUGAGAUAGAGAAAACAGCCUUUGCCUCCCCAAUCGGCUUCAAGGCUCUCUGCUUAGAUGCACACCAUCGGGAGGGAGCGGAGAGGCUGAGGGGCGGUGGGACUGGGCAGCCCGAGAGUGGCAAUGUGGACUUAGCACGCUAGAGAGCCCAGUACAUAUCAGGGCACUGCUGUGCACCUACCUGGGUGAGUUGACAGGAGUUCAUUUGGGCAAGGGGUUUCUUUGACAUUUGAACCCUAUACCUGAGGGCUUGCCUGUCUGUGCAAAUGCAUGCAGUUUCCUCCGCCCAGCCCUGACCCGCCUCCACUGACCAGCCUGGAGCCUAUCUUAGGCCCGGGAGGGUUUUUUUUUUUUUUUUUUUAGUUUUCUGGAGCAGAGGGUGACCAACUGAGCCCUGGCCCUGUGACUGGGGACAGCUGCAGCGGGGGAGGGGUCAGGAGACUCUAGAGUGGAGAGGAAGAGUGAACAGGGAAUGGCCUUGGCCAAAAUGUCCCCCUGCCUCCCUUUUCCCCGGGUGGCCACACCCUUCCCACUCCCACUUCUCAGAAAACGGCAAAGCAGCAGAAUACUGGACUUUGCAAGGCAGAUGUAGCCACUGAGGACCAGAGAAAACACCUGUCCAAGGCAGCACAGCUGGGACCAGAAGCAAGUCCCCAAUUGUCUACUCUCCUGUGCCCAUCUGCUUCUGCUCAGUCCCCUAGACCUUGGAACAGAGGGUCCCGCACUCACACAGGCCAUGAUUGAAGCUGAAGCGAAGAGAUUCCUGAGACCUGCUCCACCAGCAGUCAGAAGACUCCACCCGAGAGACGGGCCCCAGGCCCGCUCCGACCUUUUUAACUGGAUCAGACCCGGCUCUCGCUUCCCUCCGCCUUCCUGACCUGACCAUCACCCUUCUAAGCCAAAGGCACGAAGACUAGUCACUGUCUCAAAAAUGCCGAGCCAAGCCUUGCAGGACAACCCCUCCCCCACCGGAGUGUUCCUGAGGAACAGGACAAAGACAUCAGGCAGAGUUCCAGGUAGAAGACCAGAGAUGAGGCAGUCAAUUGCCAGGCAAAUCCACGGGCUGGGAGCUCAGGGCUCUGGGAGCUGUUCCUGCCAGGUCAUGACUGGAAUAGAAGACCUACACCAGGAAGUGUGUGUGUGUGCACUUCUCUGUAGGUGCUGUCUGAGCAGGCCGGCCAUGGAAGAGCAUGGUAUAAGGACUAGUCUCCUGACCAUGGCCUGGAGAUUCUGGUUUAUGCUUCCAACCCUGUUUACCUGUUUAUUCAUUUUCUCCAUUUGCAACUGUACGUGUGAAGUCCCUCUUUCCUUCCUGAGGGUCACGUAAGGUGGGACUCAGGUCUGUGGCUCUUCAUAGGUGACCUUUGCCUUGAGACAGUCCUGCUCUGUAGCCCGGGCUGGUUUGGAGUUCGAAGCAGUCCUGCCUGGGAUAACAUUCCUUGCCCCACACCCACAAAGUGCUCAGGGCCUCCUGGUGGUGGCACCCACUUAUCUGUCAGGCCCAGUGCCCGGCGCCUUGCUUUCAAAGCCUAUCUCAUUUGAGCAUAUCAGUCUCUGCCCACCUGGUGAAUAGCCGCUGUGGUCAGAUCCCAAACAGAGGCAGGAUGGGGAACAGAGACGAGCAUGGAUUUGGGGGGGGCAGGGUGUAGUCCUGGGCGUUGGUUAUUCUGAAUAAUGUCCACAUUCUAGAAGGUAGCAGUAUGCCGAUCAUUUCAGGGUGAGUUGAGGAUUGCAGGUAUUGAGGUAUGCCUUUUUCCUUCCUUGUUUCCUAAGGCCAAAGGUGGGGCCCCUGAUGAUUCUCCCUCAGGCUCCCACAGUAGCCAUUGGAGUCCUCUGGAAUUCUGUUCAGAAGCCCAGCCCUUGGAUCUGGCCUUAGCUUUUCCAUACAGGUCCCAGCCAGCAAGGUCCUUCCUGACCCUCCAACUCCUACCCCUCCCUGACAGUCUGUACUGCUUGCGGCCAGCCCUGGGAGGGAGCCACGGAGCUCAUGGGUACCAUGCACAGCACCCACCAAGCUGGCUCCAACACAGAGUUCUUGAAGUCAGAGCAGGGAGGGACCCCAGAGAUGCCAUGGCCUGCUCCCCCAUAUCUUCUGAUGCACUUUAAGGAUGUGGAAACCAGAGAGGGAGGGUACUUGGCUGUGCUCUCUCAGGGAGCUGGGGCUGAGGAGAGCCUUUUAUGAAGUGUAGAAGGGCAGCUUUGACCUCCCCGGCUUGGCUGUUGUGCUGUCUUGAAAAUUCUAAACAGCUCAGUCCAUUGCUUUUGAAUUCAGCCUCAAUCAGCUUUUCUGGAUAUCUGGCAGAAUGCAGCUAGGUCCUUGGCUAGAGUAUGACACAAGGUCCUGAUGGAGUCCACAGAGUCCUCUGAAAACCUCAUAAGCACGGUACUCACCGCUCACCCUUCUCUGCAUCUUGGCCUCCCAAACUCUCAGCGGAAUGGCCCAUGAUGCUCUGCUUAUAGUAUCCGAGCCUCUCUAGCCAGCAGCUCUGGGCUCUCCCAUUGUUACUCCUAGAAACCAGCUCAGGAGGCCUAUGAACUUCACGCACAGGCUCCUCACAACAGCGGCCCCUCUUCUGACAGCAAUUUUCUCUACUGAUUCCAAUUGCUUCCAAUUGCUGUGACUGCUUGGGCCCUGCACUUCGCAUUGAAGGAUGAAGACUGCUGUAGGUCACCGCCCUGCGGAAUGCUGUGUCCUGUGAUGUGUGUGAAAUGUAUCCUACGUGGCAGAGAGUUCGCUGCUGGGACUUGAAGCACAGGCGGCAGCUCAUCUACCAUUGAGCUACUACACACCUGACCAGGGCACCACAUAGCUACUGCUUCCUAAGAGUAAUAGAGUCCUGGGUUAUGUGGAUGCAUGUCUCUGUGGAGGCCAAAGGACUUCAAGUGUCCCUGCUCCAGCAACACCCCCCCUUCUUUUUCAAACAGGGUUUCUCUGUGUAGCCCUGGUUGUCCUGGAACUCACUUUGUAGACCAGGCUGGUUGCAAACUCACAGAGAUCCACCUGCCUCUACCUCCUCACUACUGAAAUCAAAGGCCACCACUCCUGGGUUUUUAAGGGACUGAAACCAACCUACAGGGAAAGGCCUCAGAGAUGCUAAAAGCUCAAUGGGCAAAAUGUAUCUGCGCUGAGGCUGAGGACACAGAGAUGGGAGGCAUCCUUUCUUGUGGGCUAUGGGUAUAGGAGGCGGUGCUUCAGGGAGACAGGCUUAGGCACACACACACAAAGAGAGACACUUCAAUUCACAUUUUAUUAAGUUCAAGGACCGGUUACAACAGGUGGAGGGGGUGGGAAGGUCCCUACCCCCACCUUCACUGGCACACAAUAAAUAAAUAAAUAGCUGGGAAUGGGCAGGUGAGGGUGGCACUGCAAACACUGACUGCAGGUGGGGACAAAAGGAGGGCCCCCUCCAAGCCGAAAAAGCCAUCAACACUGGACGGUGCUAAGGUAUGAGUGGGAACCUCUCCACACUACCCCAGGGCCACAGAGGUGCCCCACUGAGCAGUCUGUGGAGUGGGGUGACUUGAAGGAUGACCCUCUGUCUGAGAUGAGGUCUGACUCUGCCAUCCCGGUCACCAGACUCAGCAAUCCUCUUGCUUCAACCUCCCGAGUGCUAUACAUACCGGCAUUCAUCACCCUGUGCUACCAGCAUCUGGUCCCAGGAUCCAGUCAGGCUAGGAUUGUCAAAAGUUCACAAGUCUCUUGGACUUGGAAAUUGUUCUAAUUGGCAUCUAAGAGGCCAGUGGGAUCGUUAAUUGUCCUGAUGGACGCAUAGCCUCUGACUGGUGCUCUGGGGUUCCAGGAUAUGCAAGGCAUUCUUUAAGCUCCUACUUGCUCCACUAAAGGCCCACUCUG